UCAAAAAAUAAUUAAAAUAGUAAUUUUUUUUUUAAAUGAAACCAUCUAGAAUGCUCAACCUGCUGAAUUUUACAUAGACCUCUGUAUUCCUUAGGGAGUAACACUAGCAGUGUUUCAAAAGGGAGCAUUUUCAGGGGCAAGGCAAUAUAAAACCUCUGAGAUGGGAAAUUUUUGCUGCUUGGAUAAACAUAAUCAAAAAUAGAGUAGUAGAAAUCAUGUCUUCUGUGGUGUUCAACCUGUGCUGAUUUGUGCUUUUUGUUUCUUUAUCAGUGGAUAUCAGACUGAUAUCAGUCUUCUCCUUUCUAAAGAUGUUUUUGUUAAAGGUUUUCAAGUUCACCUAUCAUUUUCAUUUGUCAUUACACUGGAUUUUUCUUUGUCCAGAUCAGGCUGAAAAUUUUUCUUUCAGUUUUCUCCAAGGUUUUCAUAGGGAGGAAGGAGGAUUGUUCUGAGUGACACUGGCAUGCAAAUAAAUAACACUGAAACUUGGAAGAGUGUUAAUUAAGAAUUAUUAUAACCUGACUGACCUGACUUGGCAUCAUGGUAUCUUGCCAAACUGGCUCUUUAUUCUUACGCGUGUCUGAUUUGUGUUUGUGGUGUCAAGCUAAUGAGCUCAUGGAAUUGUUUGGCCUAAUCCUGCUCUCUUUACACUGCAGAAGUUUUCUGUGAGGAAGAACAAGGAAUAUCAAAAUGAGGUUCACUGGGUAUGACUCAUGGUGGUUAGUCCAAGUAGUAUUUGGUACAGACUGCUAUUUUAGUGCAUUCAGGUAAUGACAAAUUUGGGCUGUUGUUUCUUUACCUAAAUGAGAUUUACAUUGUUUCAAGACUGGCUUACACCUGUUGGCUUCAGUGCACAUUUUUUGUGAUUCUUACCUGUGUGGGGCCAGGGUCCACUGAAUCAAAUUAGAAUGCGUUUAAUGAUGUAAUUAAUCAAUAAUAAUGUAACACUCAAUUUGCUGUGACUUCUGAUCACAUUGCCAUCCUUUCAGCUCUGCAGAAGAAGAGCAAUUUGGGUGGUUGUGAACAAGAAGGACUGGAAUCUUAGCGAGGUCUCUCAGUUAAAAGAGAAGCAGAUCUUAUCUUUAUAUCCAUUUAUGCUACACAGACAUCAGAAGGCUGUUUCUUAGUGUCUUUGAAGUGAGAUGGAUCUAACAAUUGUGCUGUUCCUCAUCCCCAUUCCCAGAGGGACCCUGGGCUGUGGCUGGGGCUGUGGAAGAUGCAGAUGUCCCACCUCAGCCCUCCUUCCCAGCUGGCUGCUGUGCUCAUUAUCCGGGGUGGAGCACCCCGGUGACACACCUCUGCAGCAUCUUGUUUUGGAGUUACCUGGUGGGAGUGCUGUGCUGAGCUGUGCAGCCAUAUCCUGCAUUUAACUAUGGGGUUCCAUGAGUAAUAAUUCAGGCAGUUCAACCAAAGUUAUUCAGAAUAUGUAGCACAGGUGAUGCAAUUACCAAACACACGCUGUGGGACCCCACUCUGUGGCCAGUUCUGCAUUCAGUAAUUGUCAGUGUGGUUUGACAUGUGACCAGCACAUUCUCAAUAUGUUUUAUCACACUGUCCUUUUUUGGCAUCUUUUUUUCAUAAAUUGUUGUAAUAUUCCAAGAAGAAUGCCUCGAUUAUUCCCUCUGUUUCCUGAGGUAUGCAGUAGUAGCCACAGUCUGACAUUACAUUACAUUGCAUUAUUUACAGUACAUAAAAGCAAUGUCUUUAAUGUCCAUGUACCAGUAAUCCCAGAAGGCACAGGCAAAGUGAGCCCUACUUUUGUAGAUAUUUAGUUUGAAUUUAAGUCUGUCCAUGCCCCUGCAAGCUUACAGUUUAGAAAGAGGAGACAAAAUGGAAAGGUAACAUGGACAGGACAGGUUGAAUAGGGGGAUUUCCCUCCCCCAGUAGGUUUAUUCUUAAUGUUGGCAUCAGUCUUUCAAACUGUUGGAAGGGAAAUUAUUGCUGAGAAGUGAUGGGAAUGGGACAGGAAAGACAAAUAGUGGCACAGCAGUGUAAAGAGAAAGAGCAGAAAGAAUGAAUUUGACUCAGAGAAGCUUUUGGUGACUGACUUCAUAGAAAUAAUACAAUAGAAAGUGGAGAAAAAGUCCAUGGUCAAAUCACAUGAGGAGUCAGUCCAAAAUUUCCAAAUAGGUCGCUGAUGUUUGCUGGCAGCUUUUAACUUCAGCUGGAAGAAAAGAGCCUCUUUUCUCCACAAACCAGAAUUAAUCUGUAAUGCUUUUCUCCUCCAACUCAAGUGACUUGUGUUAAGAGGGCAGCUUUGGGACAAGGACCUUGGACUGAGUCCUGUUUGGGUACAGUGGAAGAUUUCCAGCUGUAUUUUAAAGCGCCAUUCACCUCUUGUGUCUGGACUGUUAAUUUGCAGUGGGGUCACUCCCAGCUUCCACUACUGCUAGGACAUUAAUGGUCUAAAUAACUGCACCUGCUAUGUUAAUGAAAGUGUGCAGAAAAGCUCAAGUAAUUUAGAAAAUUAUGCAUUGUGUUGGGGUGCCAAGAAGGACAGAAAGGUACAAGUGGCAAGAAGUUGGUCAAAAGAAAUAGGGAUUUCAGAUCACUUGCUGUAUUAUUGUCACAGUGUUAGCAGUGCUGCUAAUGCUUUCAGCAUUUUACUGACUGUAUUCAGCUUUGUAGUUGAAUGUGUUGCAGAGUGGGAGGGCUUUUUGACUAAGAGGCAUUGGAAUAGUGUUUAUUUUUUAAGAAGUCCUUCUUAUUAUUUUGCUGGCAGGUUUUUAAGAUUGUGAGAUUUGUUUAAGACCAAUCCCUAGCAAAAAAAAAAAAAAAAAAAAAAGUCAUUAGGCAUCUUUGGAUCAAAAAAUCACAGAACAGAACUCCGUAAACAAUCCAUUCCUCGCUCCAGUCUGCAAACAUGAAUCAUACCAAUAUGAUUCCUGAUAAAUGUUUGUCUAACCUGUUUUUGAAGUCUUUUGCAGCCUCCUCAAGAAAUCUAUUCAAGUCCUUAUUAUGCCUACUGGUAAAAUAAGCCAUUUCUAAUGUCUAGUCUAAAACUCCCACCUGCAGUUCACACCCAUUACUUCUUAUCGUGCCAUGCUGGGCAUGAAGAACAGCUUAAUUCUCUUCCUCUCUGCAUCCAUCUUUUAUGUAUUAGAUAAUGCUUGCAUUCUCCUGCAUGUGCCUUUUUCUGUGCAGCUGGACUUGGAUGAAUAUAGAUUAAAAGAAAAAGAAAAAAAAAUCACAUUUCUGGCUGAGACAGUCAUUUUAGCUGCUCAGGCAGCAAGUGGCUGAAAUGGAGGAGUUAGAAAAUGCUGGGCAGGGCAGGGUGAUUUGCUUAAGGCAAUCUGAGGCCCUAAACACAGGGCACGAGAGAGAGAGAGAGGCUGGUGCCUGCCAUGUGUUGCACAUCUCUCAUGACAGUGCCUGCUUGGCAUUUCUGUCUCACCUGCCCAUGUCUCAGCCUGCAUCUCUCACCUGAACUGUGGCCAGGAACUGUAGGUGCUUCUGUGGAGCCUGAUUUUCAGGGAUUAGGUCAGUGCUUCCAUUUUUAUUUGCCUCCAUUUUUGAAGAUGGAUAAGAAGAAGUAGGGAAUGACAAAUGUGGCAGCUGGUAACUGACCCACACUCCUUAAUUCAGCCCUCAAAUGUCAUACUCCAAGAUACAGGACAUAUCCAUGAAAUACCCUCCUCCUUCUUUCUUCACAUCUUACAGGUCCUGGCAAAGAUCCCCAAAACUCUGCUGUCCAGAAUUAUCCCAAACAUGAAUCCCUGAGUGCUCUUAGCAUCUCCUCCAGAGGGGAGGAGGAUCCCUUAGCACGGGUACGACAGAGGCUUCCCAAGUAUCCUGCAGACAUUCCCAGGCACUUAGGAGCACCAGUCCUUUGGCUGUCCACUCUGUCUUCUCCCGAGUGUCCCAGCCAUGCCAGCCUUUCCUCAUGGAUCAUUUGGAUCACCUAUAUGGUGAUACAGCCUCUAAAAUUGCAAGUUCACUUGGUGCUUGGUUUACCUGGUGCUGCCCAUGCUUUGGGUGCACAGAGCAGCUCUCCAGUUCUCCAGGUGUGAGACACACACGUGGGUGGGUGAAAUCCUCAUCUCAUGGGGAUUUUGGGAGGUGAACAGCAUUUUGUUCCUUUGGGGCUGACAGCUGAACAAAGACACUGAGCAGUUGGCAUGAUUUAAAGCUGUUAUUUGCAAAUCUGAAUAGUUACUGGGGUCACAUUUUAUUUUCUCUUACUCUUAAAUUAAGAAAACUCAUGUUCUUCUGCUGGUUGUGUGAUUCUGAGAGCUGGGACCUGAAGCAUAAGGCUAUAAUGCUGUUUAUAAUGCCAAAAUAUUUAGAGUGAAUGGGAUUAUUAUGAAGUGGAGAGGAAAUAAUUGUUUCUCAUGUCACUUAAUUUUCGAAAGGGAAAGCCUAUGGAAAUUUUUCCUCAAGUCCAUGAAGUCUAGAAUUGCCUCAUUCCACUCCAGUAGUGAACUUCACAAAUGUGCAGUAUGGCAAAAUCUUACUUGUAGGCUAAAUUUGAAAAAUAAAUCUCCAUUUUGCUACAUUUUCUGAAAGAACACAGUUUGUAUUAACUCUGAUUUUUUUUUUUUAAUUGAGGAAGCCAUUUUCUCAUCUUGGAAUAGGAGUGGGUAUUAACAUUACAGGUAUAGGAAUUGGGAUUAACUCUGAUGAUAUGAAUCCCAAUUGAAAUGAACCUGGAAAAGUCCCCCAAGCAUUUUCUGUUGAUAACUGUGACACCCAGUGGUUAUUUAAAGAAGUAUAAAAAUGUAGUACAGUAGGAUUGCAGUGAACCUAAAGGCUGCACAAAAUACUGAGGUUUAUGUAAUAAAUGUGUGCUUUUAGAGUAGUACUCUUUCCUUUGGUAAUGUGUUCAGAUACUAAAUUUAAGCUGCUUUAGGAGUUGUGAGGCUUUAAUCCAUUAGGUUUAUGUUUUGUCAUAUUUAAAACAUAUACAUACACACAUAUAAAUAUAUUUAUGUAUUUACUUGUACAAAGCUUUUUAGUACAUUGUGAGGCUGAGUUUAUAACUCUGGUGAAACACUGACAAAAAGUAGUUAUGAAGUAUGAAAUGGCUUUUAAUUCUUGUUGGUGAGAAGCUGGCUCAGAAGAAGUCUGGCAGAUAAAGGAACCUUGUUUCCUCUCCUUUGUUUGCCACUGACUUCAUUGUGUGGCUUAGAACAAAUUGCUUGUGUGCAUGGCUGAUAAGUGCUUCAGUCUGUUCAUAAAGGUGCAAGGUGUAAUUAGUACUAAUCUAGGUGGCAUUCACCUCCAACCGUUUAUGCCAGAGUCAGGAAUGAUUAAGUUACAUGCUGUGUAUAAUGUCUCAUAUUUAUAUUCCAGAGCAUAAUAUUACUUUAUGAGCUGUGUUUUAUUACAGGGCACUGAAUACAGAUUUACUCCCAUAUACCUGGUAAAUGAGAAAUUAAACCCUAUUGUUUAGGGAUCACUGACUAUUAAAUAUUUACUCUUGGUGGCAUGUUUAAAAUAAAGGAAUGCUGUUAAAAUUCAGAAUAUCAAUGCAGUGGACCAAGCAGCAGGUGCCCAUUAUAAACAGAUUACUAUAUCUAUUGUUUGGGAAUGUCUCAGGGAACUGCUGAAGCUUUUUCAUACAGGUAGGAAGAGUUGCACAGCAAAAGGAGCAAUGUCAGAAGGCAUUCCCUUACAAGCCAGGAGAUUAGACAGAGCUGCAAAGUCAUUUGCUGCCCAAGGCCCUGUCUUGGCUGCAUCAGCUGUGGUUAUACUGCGUGCCUCAGCAGUGCUCUUCAGCUCCCCAAGUGUGUGUCUUGUCUUCAUCCAGAACUGGGGUGACAUCUGUAUUCCCACCCUUUAUUCAUCUCUACCCUACCCAGUUUUCUUGCAGGGAAACUGCAGCCAGAAGGGCAGAAAUGAGACAUUCUGGCAAGUCCAGCCAUAUCAGGGUGAGGAGAGAACCAAGACACACACACACACAGAAACACAAGCUGAAUGGCUGUGCUACAGCAUCACUUUGGAAGAACAUCAGUAUUAUCUAUUUCACACUAUUUCUCUAUUUUUAUGAUCAUCAGUGUUUCAUAUUUAAUAGGAUCACAUGAAAUAUCUAAUUGUCAUAAGAUCCUUCAAUGCUGAAUUCAGGAUAAAAAUACCUUAAAACAACUGCACAUGUUGGAGCUUAACUUGUUUAUAAUGAAAAAAGCAGGGUUUGGAUGUUAUUACUUGGAAUUUGUAACAUUUAGUAGUCCUUGUUUCACACCUGCUGCCCAGUCUCUACAAGGACACAAAAAGAUGGAAACAGAAGAGUGAAAAUGAAGUAAUGCUUGAUAAAGUGCAGUGUUUACUCUGUUGCUAACAGAUUGUCACCCGUUGAUGUUAAGUGCAGGAUGGAGAGUGCUUUUGUCUUCCAGCUUCUGAUAAGAACAAAUGUAUGUGAUAAAAUGUUGUUCUAACAGAGGAAUAUAUCCUGAUGCUUACUGAUAUACGAGCAUAUCUAUAUCCUUGGCUCAAUCCUGGUUUGGUCUCCAGGAGAUGGUGAACAGACCUUUUGCUCUUUAACCUAAUCCUGAAAUACGAAUAUGCAGAAAUUUGGUUUUGCUUGGUGUCCCUCCACUGUUUAUUCUAUACUCAAAUGACUUGAAUUCUGGCUGCGGGUCAUUGAUGCCUACUCUUGGUUUAGUUUUUUGAACUAUACAUAGCUCAUUUCAACCCUUCCACUAGUUUGGCUAAUUGAUUGUGUUGGGUUUUAGUGUCAAAAAGUUUGGUUUUAUUCCUCAAAGACUGGACAAUUCAUGUUAGAAACCAGUUUGUCUUCUGCUUUGUUUAUGGCAUAUUUUGCUAGCCAGCAUAAACAAAGCCUAGGGCAAUUUGCCAUCCUAUUCUAGACAGGAUGUCCAACAAAUGAAGUGCAGUCUUCUGUUUACACUAUGAACUGAAUUUGGAGUUUUUUGCUUCCCAGUUCUGUGUUCUUUAUCCCAAAAGUGAUUUCUUAUCCUAUGAGGAGAAAACUACAGCUCACAGUGCACAAAUCUGCAUUUUUAGGUAAAAGAUAUGCAGUAGGUAGAAGAAAUGUGUCCCAAUACUUGGAUUACAGGAAAAAGAGUAUGCUGAGAGAAGAAAGAAGUCUGCCAUGUAUGUUGAUGUUCACCUUAGUUUCUGUGUUGGGAAGAGCAUACCUGAAAGACAUGAGGAGUGAUGUGCUUUAUCCCUUCCCACACACUGGGCUUGGCAUGCCCUGGAAGAGAGUCUCCCAGUAAUUGUUAUUUAUGGCUGUGAUGCAGCACUCCAGUGGCUCAUGAAGUGUCUCUGGUGUCUCACUGAAAUGGAAUGUUUCAGAUACAGACAUGAAUAUCAUAAAAGACACUUUUCCCAAUAAAGCUACACCCCUGCUGAUUAGCCAGUGCCCUGAGGUCUUGUGAUAAUAAGAUCUGACUUAAACCUCCGCACUCAUCCCUCUGCACGCCUCCCUUCUAUGUCCACGCAGCUCUUCCAGCACUCAAGUUCAUUUCAACUGUUAAAAUUCGUCUCCUCACUCUCAAGAACAUCGAGGUCUGGCUCUUUGCAAGUGGUGGCUGCUAGACAUGCAGAUUAAUUUAGUAAUUUCAGGGAGAAAACACGAAAAGGAGAGAAAGAAGAGAGCUUAGGGGUGGAAAAGGAGCAAGAAGGUGGCUGCAGGAGCAGCCCCACAGCCUGGUGGUAGCAGGGUGAGCCACAGUGCUCUGUCGGGAGAUCAAAACAAGUGGAUCCACCCUCAUAAUCUUCUUCUUGCACAACCCCUGGCAUGGCUGUGUGUGGCUGUGUUUCACACUGAAAAGAGGUGAAUAGAGGACAGACCUCUGACUUAAAUAACAUUUAGAGGAGAUAGAAGUAAAUUUUUAGACAGUCCCUGCAGCCAGCUUACUGAAUAAACUGACAAGUAUAAAGGAUGUAGUAAGCAAGUUGGUUUUGUAUCAGGGUGGAACUUAUUUAAUAGUUACCAGACCAAACUCCUGCCUUCUGGUGUUUUGAAUUCUGAAGUAUGAAAAUAAAAUGUGUGAAGUACAAAAUAGGAUUUCUAGAUGGUGGGAGUGAGCAAGAUUUUAUUAAGGAUGUUUGUUUAAAUACUGCUACAGGAGAUGUAAUACAGAUCAUAACAUCUCACUAAGUCACAGGAGUUCAAGAGUUGAAAAUGGCCAUUUAAAACUUGUGUGUAUAAAUAAGUGUCAGGGAAACUGAAUAAAUUCUUUUCUUUUGAAGUUGAAAAACCUUCUCAGACACUAUAAAUGACAGAAAUUUCAUCUUAUUCACCAGUAAGCCUUUCCAGAGCAGUCAGUGACUCACAGAUUCAAUGUCAGUCCUAAAAGCCUUCCAACCUGAGGAGAAUAUGCAAUGAUGAAGCAUCCUCUGCUGCACAAAUGCCUGAAGUACAGCAUAAUGCUGUUUUAGCACCCAUGAUUUCAGCAACACAGGCACCAGUCUCGAGUCACUGAACACCCCUGUUGUGGCAAGACAGGACUGUCCCUUUUCUGUAGAGUUUUUUGUUUAGGUUUGUUUUUUGGGGUUUUUUUGGUUGUUUUUUUUUCCAUCUUCAAGCACAGAUAGCCAAGGGAAGAAGUAACUGACUGAUUGAUUACUUGUGACUACUGAACGAAGGCGCCUUUAAAGAAAUAUCUUUGAGCUUAAGCAGACAAAGUCAUCACUUGAUAGCCUGUUGAUUUGCAGAAGGAAAUCACUUAAAUGGAUAUUCUUCCUGGAAAAGUCCUGUUUGCUGCUUUGCAGAAGUUCAGAUGGAGCACUGUGCUUUGCUUCAUCAUCCCUUACAUUGUGUAGUAUUCCUGUAGGAGUGCAAAGAACGGGCAAGAGACCAACAGAGAAAUUUUCAGAAGUUAGUGAUAUAAUAUCUUGGCCAUUGAUUAUAGCAGGAUUCAACCCAGCUGUGCUGGAAAUGUGCUCUGUUAGUUUGGACAAGCCAUUGCACCCAUUGGCACCUCAUGGUCUUGUUUGAUUUAGGACAGAAGGUUCCCUAUUAGCUUAAGCCAAUCUGAGACUGUACUGCUGCCAAAGGGACAUUCCUCCCCCUCUUACAUCAGACCAGGCACCCACAUGACCAUACAAUAAACUGAUCCAUCUGAAAACCAGCCUGGGGUGGGGGGAAAGAGGGAGACAUUACUUUUUUAAGUCAGAAAGUUGAGCAAGAAGCCAGAAGGUUGCUGGGGCUUAUGAAAGGGGUGGAGUGGCAACAAGGAUCUAGGGGGAUGGAGAGGUGAGACCACCACCUCUGAGGCAGUGGGAUUCAGCAGGUGAGUCUCACUUGAAGUCCCUUUAGCAUGCAGUGUGGCCCAAGGUUUGCUCUGGAGGGAGAAGCAGGUUGUGCUGCCACACACAGCACAAGAGAGAGGCUGUGCUUCAGGUUAGCUCUGGGCUUGUCCCUGUAGGUGCCUGCUGUACUGGGUGUGCUCCUGGAGUGUGUCCCUUCCACUUUAAUUGAUAACACAAACUUGUGUAGAUGCACCCAGUGUGUACCUGGGGACACCACUGGCACUCAUGUUUUUUGAGAUGUCGAGAUGCUCCCAUCAUAUGGAAGUAUUUAGAGUCUGUUUAAACUCUCCUGUCUGGGGGUGAGAGGCAGGAAUAUGGCAGAGCUGGUGUUGAGCAAGAAAAGACAGACCACAGGGAUUUAGUCUGGUUUUAUCCCCACAAGAAAAUGAGUUUUCUCUGUGGUUCUGGUUUGAAGCAAUGGAGAUGUGCCAAGGCUGCAGCUCAGCUCUCUGUGUGGCUCCUGUUGGCCAUGGUGCACUCAAUGUUUUUCCUCUUUGUGGUCAUUCCCAACAUAGAGCUCUGCUCUUCUCAGCUCCUGGGUGCUUCACCAAAGCAGUCUGUGAACUCUCACUCUAGUUUAAAUGUGCCUUUUUGAACAGCAUCCUUAAUUUGCCCUUUGGGGGUGUUUUAUGCAGUUCAGUGUGUUUAAUCACUUACUCAUAUUUUUCAUGGGUCACUCUGGUAGUAAAAGACAGCAGGGGGCACCAAAUCUGCAUAAUUCUGUUAAAAUGCAACAUUUAGGUCCGUGCUCAUAAAAUUUAAGUUAUUAGGCAUACUUUCAGUUUAACAGUUACUAUGCAUACCUUCAAUUUAACAUCUGUCAUUUCAUUCUAGCACCGAUAGUUUCUAAGAUAUCUCCUUGCUUCUCAAGAGUUGCAGUGCUGGAAGUUGGGGUUGAAUUUUCCCAAAAGUAUACAUUUAGGCCAGCAGCAGAUUUUCUCCUGCCUGUUAGCAUCCCAUUUCCUUCCCUGCUUAGUGCUGUAGGCUCCAGAAUUCAUGCCCAGGAAGAUACUCUCUCUAAUACUUAAUUCAGGAAGCUGUUUGUAUUAGCAGAAUUGGAUUAACUGAAGGCUUUGCUUUUCAGCUCCAAAGUAUCCUGAUAUUUGUAUUGUGAAAAGAUUUUGUGCUGAAAUCAGUGUUGGACUAGCUAAAGGACUUCUCAAUGGCCAUGCAAAAUGUUUUCAGGCCCAGAAUAACCGAUGUAGCUGCCUCUGUUCUUUUGGAGAAACUGGAACUCAACUGUCUUACAGUUUUUUUAAGAAAAAAUCCUCUGCAAAAUAAAAGUGAAACACAAAAUAUAUUCUCUAAUGGUACUUUGAGUAUUGAUUUAAAAGUAAUCUGUGAGCAUGGAUUCCUAAAUGGAGUGGUUCACACUCAUGAGACAGCUGUGGGUACACUCAAAGUAGUAAAUCCUAUUAUUUGUGUAUAUAACACAUAAGUAUCAUUUGUACUUUGGAAGUGCUUCAGGGUUGGAUCCUCAUUUGAUAACAUGCAAAGAAAAGUAACAUUGCAGUUUGACAGACGCUUUUAGAAAUCUAUUAAUUGUGACCCACUGGUAGUGUACUUCUGUAAUGCACUCAAGCCUUGCUGAGAUGGUCAUCACAUGAUUUUUUUUUUCUGCCCUGCAUGCCCAGUCUUGGAUUUCUAUUCUCCUAAAUUUAAAAUCCUGCUGUGAAAAAUCAGACCAUAAAGAACAGAAAGAGUCUCUUCAUCUAAGAAGAGAACCUAGGUCUGAGAUAUGACUGCUCAUCCUGUAGCUUCUGGUAAAGUCAUUUUAGUGUCAAAUUCAUAAAAUAAUUUGGUUAUUUGAAUUGUAAGUUCAGCUGUGUGGCUGCAUGCCUAAAUAAGUAGCAUUUCCAGACUUAUUUAUCUGCUUUAAAUGUAAUCACUCAUUGGAUAAAACAGGCAAACAACAGACCUGCUAAGCUUUCCAGAACAGCAUGUUCUUAGAGGCAGUUGCUAUUGUUUCAGUCAGCAGGAAAAGAACAUCUCGUCAGAUGACCAAGACUCAGUUCUUAAACCUUGUCAGCUGGAACAUCUCUGGAAGCAUCCAGGGUCAGGCUGGGUGGGCCUUUGAACAGCCUGAUGAAGCAGAAGAUAUCUCUGGAUCUGUUGCAUGACAGAUCUGAAGGUGUGAGCCACAGGGAGACAGAGAGCAGCAAUCCCUGCUGGAAAUGGCUUGGGAAUACCAUGGAGGAAGCAGGAGCAUUGGUGAGAUUUUGAGGACGGAAGAGUGAAAGAUGAAGUGCUAAAUCUGAGACUGUGGCUGCUAAAAUGAGCUGCUGAACAUCAGAGAGCAGGAAUUACUGCAUUUCCUGAGAGUGCUGCAGAACCUCUGAGCCUUUUAUUUCUAGUAGUAGAAAUCCACAUGGGUCUCAAGAAGUGUUAAAAUAACAGGUUUUGAAAGCAACAGUUUUUCAUAAAGGCAAAAAUAUAUUUUAUAUGUAUAAAAUAUGUAUCUUAUGCUCUGUGUUUAUCUGUCUUGCCCAUUCCAGGUCCCCUGAGCAGAUAAUGCUGCAGUCUCAGCUCCCACACCCCCCACCCUCAGCUCCCUCCAUCCUGGCUGCUGUGCUGUACAUCAUUUCAGAGGAGCACAGCUGGGUGCUGGACUGUAAUUUCUCCUGCAGCUCAGAUCAAGUCCAUUAGUUUAUUUGAAGGUUAGGACCAAGACCAUGGAAGUGCAUGAGGAGCUAAUAGACAGACCAGUGUUCCUGCUGUGCUCACGGGGGCUUAAACCAGCGAGAAAAUAGUCAGGCACAUCCAUAUUAUUUUCACCUUUUGCUUCAUGAUUUGCAGUAGUCUCAUUCAUAAAUGACAAAGAAACAGCUCCCUGCUGUGAGGUCCUCAUACCACAGAGAGCUGUAAUGAGUUUGUAACGAGAUGGAGAUAAGGAAGAUUUUUUGUGAUUACUCAGACAAAUCUCUGAGUGCAAAUCAGAGAUGUGCUGAGUGAGGGGUAUGUCUCUCCAUCACUCUCCAUGGCUUAAACAUCUGAGGAUACUUAAGGUAUUCUCUUGGUAUUAUGUAAGAAGAACUCAGUAAGACAAAAAUGUUCUAAAUGCAUCUUUAUGGAUUUCUUGCCUUCUCUGUAUGUCAGAAUCUUUUGUAAUUUGACAGCCACUAGCAGUGAUUAAUGGCUAGCAAUAUGGCUAGGGGCAAUGUAUGUUUCAAAAUCAGUAUCAGGAAAGCCUCUGUGAUCUGGGAAGUCUUUGGCUGUGGAACUGUCUCCUUGCAAAAUCAGAAACAAGUUUUUUGCCUGUGUGCUCCUUGAAAAGCUCCAAAUAAAUAGCUGGAAUAUUAAUGAAGAUGAGUGAAAACCAGGGGAAUAUUCACCUUAGAGUGUGGUGCUAAACUGAGAUUUAAGGGUUGUUUCUGUUUCAGUCUUUUAUGAUAGCUAUAGUGAAUUUAUAUUUUUCAUAUGUAUGCAUAUAUAUUUGUGGAGGUGUAUACAUAUAAGUGCUCCAGAAAGAAAUGUUUUGUUUUCAUUUCCUCGGAAGCAUCAGGUGUUUUCUGUGUUGAAUCUUAGCACAGGUAAUAUAUAUCCAGAUAUUAAAGUAACCAUGGCAAAAUAAAUAAAUAAAUGUUUCCAAAGA